AUUGAACGCUGGCGGCAGGCUUAACACAUGCAAGUCGAGCGGAGAUGAGGUGCUUGCACCUUAUCUUAGCGGCGGACGGGUGAGUAAUGCUUAGGAAUCUGCCAUUUAGUGGGGGACAACAUUCCGAAAGGAAUGCUAAUACCGCAUACGUCCUACGGGAGAAAGCAGGGGAUCUUCGGACCUUGCGCUAAAUGAUGAGCCUAAGUCGGAUUAGCUAGUUGGUGGGGUAAAGGCCUACCAAGGCGACGAUCUGUAGCGGGUCUGAGAGGAUGAUCCGCCACACUGGGACUGAGACACGGCCCAGACUCCUACGGGAGGCAGCAGUGGGGAAUAUUGGACAAUGGGGGGAACCCUGAUCCAGCCAUGCCGCGUGUGUGAAGAAGGCCUUAUGGUUGUAAAGCACUUUAAGCGAGGAGGAGGCUACCGAGACUAAUACUCUUGGAUAGUGGACGUUACUCGCAGAAUAAGCACCGGCUAACUCUGUG
rnacentral:rRNA from 1 species